AGUGAACGCUGGCGGCGUGCCUAAUACAUGCAAGUCGAACGGAGUGGCGCACGGGUGAGUAAUAUAUAGCUAAUCUGCCCCUUGCUUGAGGACAACAUUUAGAAAUUACUUCUAAUACCCCAUAGUAAGGGAUGAGACGAUAUCGUAUCAGCUAGUCGGUGGGGUAACGGCCUACCGAGGCUAGGACGCGUAACUGGUCUGAGAGGAUGAUCAGUGACAUUGUAACGGAGACACGGUCCAAAUACCGACGGAAGGCAGCAGUAGGGAAUAAUACGCAGUGGGGGAAAGCCUGACGCAGCAACGGCGCGUGGAGGAGGACACUUGGCGGAGCGUAAACUCCGUUUGUUAGGGAAGCGGUACCUAACGAAUAAGCACCGGCUAACUCCGUGCCAGCAGCCGCGGUAAUAC
rnacentral:rRNA from 1 species